AAGUCGUAACAAGGUUUCCGUAGGUGAACCUGCGGAAGGAUCAUUAACUUCAGUAGCUUGCUACUGUUAGGGGGGGUCUAUUAGUCUGUAUAGUAUCACUACUGAUGAGCAGCACGACCCUCUGUCUAUACCCUUGUCUUUUGCGCACUCAUGUUUCCUCGGCGGCUUGAUACCCGCCGGCUGGAUCAAUCUAUAACCUUUUUAAUUUUCAAUCAGCGUCUGAAAAACCUAAUAAUUACAACUUUCAACAACGGAUCUCUUGGUUCUG
rnacentral:misc_RNA from 1 species